CUUUUUAUGCUAUAAUUAAAGGGUAGAGAAGUUAAGGCGGUGGCGCUCUUUUUUUAUGGGAGGUGGUCGCUAUGGUGUAAUAUCCUUAGCAAGUACUAUUCUAAAGAAAGGAGCAGCCUCGUGUCCGUUAAGGAUGCGUUGCAGCUAAUGCUUGCCUUUGGUACUUUUACCAUUGAGCUGAUAGCUUUAGU
rfam:Lactobacillus mellis strain Hon2 genomic scaffold Hon2_scaffold7, whole genome shotgun sequence.